AUCGAACGCUGGCGGCAGGCUUAACACCUGCAAGUCGCGCGAGCGGCGGACGGGUGAGUAAUGUCUGGGAAACUGCCUGAUGGAGGGGGAUAACUACUGGAAACGGUAGCUAAUACCGCAUACCCUCAGAUGUGCCCAGAUGGGAUUAGCUAGUAGGUGGGGUAACGGCUCACCUAGGCGACGAUCCCUAGCUGGUCUGAGAGGAUGAUCAGCCACGCUGGAACAGUGACGCGUGCCAGAAUCCGACGGUAGGCCACAGUGGGGAAUAUUGCACGAUGGGCGCAAGCCUGAUGCAGCCAUGCGGCGUGUAUGAAGAAGGCCUUCGGGUUGUAAAGUACUUUCAGCGAGAAGGCGUUACCCGCAGAGGAAGCACCGGCGAACUCCGUGCCAGCAGCCGCGGUAAUAC
rnacentral:rRNA from 1 species